GGAGAGGUACUCAAAUGGUCACGAGAACAGUUUGCUAAACUGUGUCGCCUUAUGGCGACUUGUGGGUUCGAAUCCCACCCUCUCCG
rnacentral:tRNA from 1 species